CCGUGUUUAGAACACCUUUUGUCGACAAAUCGGAACCGCCGACAAAUUUCACUAUUCACGGAAUUCACUAUUCAGGUGAAUAGUAACAGCGAAAAACAUCAGAAAAUAUCUGCCACCACCGUGGCUCUGAUACCAGUUGUUGGGAAUUAAAGACGCCAAUAAUUCCGCCCAGGAUUGUUGUUGGGAAAUUAGACACAACUAAUUCCGCCCGGGAUCAAGUGUGACUCAAUAUUGU
rnacentral:lncRNA from 1 species